AAUAUUGCACAAUGGGCGCAAGCCUGAUGCAGCCAUGCCGCGUGUAUGAAGAAGGCCUUCGGGUUGUAAAGUACUUUCAGCGGGGAGGAAGGCGAUACGGUUAAUAACCUUGUCGAUUGACGUUACCCGCAGAAGCAGCACCGGCUAACUCCGUGCCAGCAGCCGCGGUAAUACGGAGGGUGCAAGCGUUAAUCGGAAUUACUGGGCGUAAAGCGCACGCAGGCGGUCUGUCAAGUCGGAUGUGAAAUCCCCGGGCUCAACCUGGGAACUGCAUUCGAAACUGGCAGGCUAGAGUCUUGUAGAGGGGGGUAGAAUUCCAGGUGUAGCGGUGAAAUGCGUAGAGAUCUGGAGGAAUACCGGUGGCGAAGGCGGCCCCCUGGACAAAGACUGACGCUCAGGUGCGAAAGCGUGGGGAGCAAACAGG
rnacentral:rRNA from 1 species